CUCAAUUCUGGCCCCUUUGAAGGGGACGUUUUUAACCACCUGAAUGAACAAAAACAAACUAGACCUUUUUCUUUCUUUCUGUGAAUAGCCAGAACUUUUGAAAUCAGUCUGCCUGGGUUCUACAUAGUGGAAUACUUGAAAAAUCUGACCUACAUCUAAACACAGUGACUAAGAAACCUUUAUUGACUUCAGUGAGUGGCCUUUGAAUCGGGGUCUACAAGAAACUGUGGCUUUGUGUUUUAAGACAAAUAAGAAAACAGAAUUUAAAGGGACACAUUGUUUCAAACAGACUCAUUGAAUUCCUUAGCAACAAUUUAAGAAGUCACAAGGGAAAUGAGUUUUUAUGGUCUCAUCAUUUCUUUGAUGUAAAAGUGCACACUCCAUCUUUCUGGCAUUUCAUUCAACAGCCUCACACAAGAAAAAAAGAGCCCCACUGUGCAUAAAGAGAAUAAAAUAUGUUCAAGAAGAAACAGGAAAAGAGAUUCAGGUUAAUACGAAGGUCAACCUCUUUCUGUGUUUCAAAUCUGCACUUUGCUGAGAUCUUAAGGAGGGGUAAAAAAAAGCUUUAAUCUUCAGUGCUGUCAUCCUUCUGCUGGAGAACUAAAAUCCAAACAGAAAUGCUUUGGCUGAUGUUAGCAUUGUGAAUUGCUGUUAAAUCUUAAAUCGGUCCCUGAAAUACUGGACCCAACAUGACACUCUAUAUUAAAUAAAACUAAUGCCUCAUGAAGGUUAUCAAUGAUCUCAAAAUGCCAGUCACUUUUCCUUCCUCCUCCCCUCAUCCUAUGCAUUGAUGCAGUGGGAGGAGACCCAAUCCCUGCAUCAAACUUUUGGUCCAGGAUGGAGGAGCCAGCCCACCUCCCUGCUUUCCUCUGUAUCUCUGAGCCAAAUCCUAGGAACUGGUCGUAAUCUGAUGCCACCCCAUAAGCAGCAGUUUUCAGGAUCCUUCCUCUCCCAGGUGUGCUCUGGCUGCUUUGCUCUGCCUGGAGGCUGAAGACUAUCCCACAGAGCCAACCAAGCAUGAGAAGCUACCACUGAGAGCACGUGAGCUGACAGGAGAACUGCUAGACAAUUACAGUGCCUACUAUUUAUAACUAUCAAAGCUCAAAGUCAGUUCUCUCGAUCACGUACUGUGGGGCUCAUUUCACCAGCAGUGGUCGAAAGAGUUGAGAAAGUCUCCUCUGCCUGACCAUAGGGCAACCACAGGAAGGAGAAAGGCC
ensembl:lncRNA